rnacentral:tRNA from 1 species
UCUGGUUUAACAUAUAUUUAAUGUGAGAGAUUGUAAAUCUUUUAAAAGCGUUUA